rnacentral:lncRNA from 13 species
AUUGAUUCAGCCAGAACUAUGCUAUAACUUCCUACUGGGAGGAGGAGGUAAGGGGCAAGGAAAGGUGGGGAUACAGCAUGAUGUAAGAGUUAAAAUUGCAAUUACCAUAACCAGAGAGAGUAGAUAAGUCUAGCAUUUCUUUUUUUAUUUUUUGAAACAGAGUCUCACACUGUCACCCAGGCUGGAGUGCAGUGGUGCAAUCUCGGCUCACUGCAACCUCUGCCUCCAAGGUUCAAGCAAUUCUCCUGCCUCAGCCUCCUGAGUAGCUGGAACUACAGGCAUGCACUACCACACCCAGCUAAAUUUUGUAUUUUUAGUAGAGACAGGUUUCACUACGUUGGCCAGGCUGGUCUCAAACUCCUAACCUCAAGGAAUCUGCCCACCGAGGCCUCCCCCCUCAAAAAGAAAAAUACACACACGCACACACACACGUAUAUAAUGUUAGCAAAUAUAUAGUGUGAAAAGGAGAUCAAUGGUUGCAUAAGAGAUGAGCAGAGAGAAGGAAGAAUGUCUUACAUGAAGUAGGCCAGGCACAGUGGCUCACACCUAUAAUCCCAGCACUUUAGGAGACUGAGAUGGGUGGAUCGCCUGAGGCCAGGAGUACCAGACCAGCCCAGCCAACGUGGGGAAACCCCAUCUCUAUUAAAUAACAAUUAGCCAGGCAUGGUGGUAUGUCCCUGUAGUUCCAGCUACUCAGGAGGUUGAGGCAGGAAAAUCACUUGAACCCGGGGGGAUGGAGGAUGCAGCAAGCCAAGAUCCCAAGAUUGCACCACUGCACUCCAGCCUGGGCAACAGAGCAAGAGUCUGUCUCAAAAAAAAAAAAAAAAAAAAAAAAAAAAAAAAAAAAAAAAAAAAAAAAAAAAAAAAAAAAAAAAAAAAAAAAAAAAAAAAAAAAAAAAAAAAAAAAAAAAAAAAAAAAAAAAAAAAUUAGCCGGGUAUGGUGUGCAUACCUCGUAGUUUCAGCUCCUGAUCUAUAGUUGUGCCACUGCACUCCAGUCUGAGCAACAGAAAAAUAAACAAAUAGAUAAUAAAGAGAUUCCUGGGUGU